GAUGAACGCUGGCGGUAUGCUUAACACAUGCAAGUCGAACGGACUCUUCGGAGUUAGUGGCGGACGGGUGAGUAACGCGUGAGAAUCUGGCUUUGGGUUCGGGACAACCACUGGAAACGGUGGCUAAUACCGGAUGUGCCGAGAGGUAAAAGAGAAAUUGCCUGAAGAUGAGCUCGCGUCUGAUUAGCUAGUUGGUGAGGUAAAGGCUCACCAAGGAAGCGAAGAGUAGCUGGUCUAAGAGGAUGAACAGCCACACUGAGACUGAGACACUGCACACACCUCAGCCGGAGGCAGCAGAGGGAAAUUUUCCGAAAUGGGAGAAAGACGCACGGACAAAUAGCGCGUGAGGGAAGAAGCGUCAUGGGUUGUAAUCCUCUUUUCAUAAGGAAGAACAUUAAGACAGUAAAUAAGGAAUGAGCAUGGACGAACUACGUG
rnacentral:rRNA from 1 species